CCUACGGGGGGCUGCAGUGAGGAAUAUUGGUCAAUGGACGAGAGUCUGAACCAGCCAAGUAGCGUGAAGGAUGACUGCCCUAUGGGUUGUAAACUUCUUUUAUAUGGGAAUAAAAUGUUCCACGUGUGGGAUUUUGUAUGUACCAUAUGAAUAAGGAUCGGCUAACUCCGUGCCAGCAGCCGCGGUAAUACGGAGGAUCCGAGCGUUAUCCGGAUUUAUUGGGUUUAAAGGGAGCGUAGGUGGAUUGUUAAGUCAGUUGUGAAAGUUUGCGGCGCAACCGUAAAAUUGCAGUUGAAACGGGCAGUCUUGAGGACAGUAGGGAGAGGCGGAAGUCGAGGUGGAGAGGGGAAAUGAGUAGAGAUGAGGAAGAAGGCAGAUGGCGAAGGCAGCCGACUAAACAGCCACUGACAGGGAGGCGCGAAAGUGGGGGUAGCAAACAGGAUGAGAUACCCUAGGAGUC
rnacentral:rRNA from 1 species